rnacentral:rRNA from 1 species
UAGUCAUAUGCUUGUCUCAAAGACUAAGCCAUGCAUGUCUAAGUAUAAACAUCUUUAUACUGUGAAACUGCGUACAGCUCCAUAUAUCAGUAAUAAUUUAUUUGAUGGUACUUUACUACACGGAUACCGGUGGUAAAUCUAUCGCUAAUACGUGCGUAAAGUCCCGACUCCGGUCUCGGCUGGGGAAGGGAUGUACUUAUUAGAUACAAAAACCAAUGCGUCCUUCGGGGCGGAUUUGUGUUGAUUCAUAGUAAUUUUUCGGAUCGCAUGGCCUCGU